GAAGUGCGAUAAGCAAUGCGAAUUGCAGAAUUCCGCGAAUCAUCAGAUCUUUGAACGCAAAUGGCGCCGGAGGGAUAUCCUUUCGGCAUGUCUGUUUCAGUGUCUGAGAGGUUUCACCAAGAUCUUAAUGUGAUUGACGGGGUGACAGUGUAACUCGCUUACUAUUGUCAAACCAUCUCUCAUGAAAGAUGGGUACGUGGAUCUUUCGGUCCAAUGAAGUGGUCACAUCACUCGCAUGUGAUUUCAUUGGAAAAUCACCGAAUUAUCCGUAUACGUGCCGUAACUUACAACAACAACAACCAAACCUUCCAUACCCUGCAUCUGAGAUAGGCAAGAUCACCCGCUGAACUUAA
rnacentral:misc_RNA from 1 species